rnacentral:lncRNA from 1 species
GGGCCGUAACUAGGGUUUUAAUUCAUGGGAGGCAGGGGUUUGGGAUUUCCGCCGAUUUUUUUCCCACACUUAAAUGGCUAAAAAUACCCCGUUUUCCUUCAAUUUCCUUACUUUAAGACUCAUCAGUAUUGCUUGAAUUUUGAAGCAGUUUUUAUGCAAAACUGAGUUUGCUGUUCGGGGUGAGCCAAAGCUCCGUCUUGACGGCCGUAUUUUGAACUAUAAUUAUUUACAUUAAAUAUAUUGUGACCGCUGAUUUUUUUUCUCUCAAAAUAAUAAAAUGGCUAACAAAAAAUAACCGUUUUCCUUCGAUUUCCUUACUUUAAGACUCAUCAGUAAUGCUUGAACCUGGAAGUAAUUUGUUUUGCAAACAACUUUUAUCUGUAUUUAAAGAUAUUUUUGUUAGAAA